rnacentral:rRNA from 1 species
CGGCCCUCUGGGUUGUAAACCGCUUUUAUCGGGGACGAAGUCAGGGAAUUCUUCCUCGUUUGACGCUACCGUCGAACUAAGCACCAGCUAACUCCGUGGCAACACCCGCGGUAAUACCGAGGCUACGUGCGCUUGUCCGUACUUACUGGGUUCAAAGGGUGCGUAGGUGGGUUGGUAAGUCAGUGGUGAAAUCUUCCCGCUUAACUCUAAAACUGCCAUUGAUACUGUCAAUCUUGAAUCAUCUAGAGGUAAGCGGAAUAUGUCGUGUAGCGGUGAAAUGCUUAGAUAUGACAUAGAACACCAAUUGCGAAGGCAGCUUACUAUGAAUGAAUUGACACUGAGGCACGAAAGCGUGGGGAUCAAACAGGAUUAGAUACCCUGGUAGUCCACGCCCUAAACGAUGGAUACUCGACGUUUGUGAUAUACUAUAAGUGUCAGAGCGAAAGCAUUAAGUAUCCCACCUGGGAAGUACGACCGCAAGGUUGAAACUCAAAAGAAUUGACGG